AGGAGGUUCAGGAACAAGAGCUGGGCAAGACCGGUGCCAGCCGCCGCGGUAAUACCGGCAGCCCGAGUGAUGGCCGCUAUUAUUGGGCCUAAAGCGUCCGUAGCCGGCCGGACAAGUCCGUCGGGAAAUCCACGUGCUUAACGCGUGGGCGUCCGGCGGAAACUGUUCGGCUUGGGGCCGGAAGACCCGAGGGGUACGUCCGGGGUAGGAGUGAAAUCCCGUAAUCCUGGACGGACCGCCGGUGGCGAAAGCGCCUCGGGAAGACGGACCCGACGGUGAGGGACGAAAGCUAGGGUCUCGAACCGGAUUAGAUACCCGGGUAGUCCUAGCCGUAAACGAUGCCCGCUAGGUGUGGCACUGGCUACGAGCCGGUGCUGUGCCGUAGUGAAGACGUGAAGCGGGCCGCCUGGGAAGUACGUCUGCAAGGAUGAAACUUAAAGGAAUUGGCGGGGGAGCAC
rnacentral:rRNA from 1 species